CUAAGAAUAUUCCGCAAUGGACGGAAGUCUGACGGAGCGACGCCGCGUGGAUGAAGAAGGCCGAAAGGUUGUAAAGUUCUUUUGCUAGGGGAGAAUAAGUGUGGGAGGGAAUGCCUGCACGAUGACAAGGACUAGCGAAUAAGUCCCGGCCAACUACGUGCCAGCAGCCGCGGUAACACGUAGGGGGCGAGCGUUGUUCGGAAUUACUGGGCGUAAAGGGCAUGUAGGCGGCUUGGUAAGCCUGGCGUGAAAGUCUGCAGCUUAACUGUAGGGAUGCGUUGGGAACUGCUUAGCUUGAGUUACGGAGAGGGAGCUGGAAUUCCUGGUGUAGGGGUGAAAUCUGUAGAUAUCAGGAAGAACACCGAUGGCGAAGGCAAGCUUCUGGCCGACAACUGACGC
rnacentral:rRNA from 1 species